rnacentral:rRNA from 1 species
GACGUAGGGCGCGAGCGUUGUCCGGAUUUAUUGGGCGUAAAGAGCUCGUAGGCGGUUUGUCGCGUCUGCUGUGAAAACUCGGGGCUUAACCCCCGGGCCUGCAGUGGGUACGGGCAGACUAGAGUGUGGUAGGGGAGACUGGAAUUCCUGGUGUAGCGGUGAAAUGCGCAGAUAUCAGGAGGAACACCGAUGGCGAAGGCAGGUCUCUGGGCCACUACUGACGCUGAGAAGCGAAAGCAUGGGGAGCGAACAGG